GGAUCAAUUUAUCGGUCGUGCCUCUGGUAUGCACUGGUAUUAUUGAUUUCUACCUUCUGACGAACCAUGAUGUCAUUAAUUUGGUGUCAUGGGGAAUCAGGACUGUUACUUUGAAAAAUUAGAGUGUUUAAAGCAGGCUAACGCUUGAAUACAUUAGCAUGGAAUAAUGAAAUAGGACGAUCGAUCCUAUUUUGUUGGUUUCUAGGAUUGACGUAAUGAUUAAUAGGGAUAGUUGGGC
rnacentral:rRNA from 1 species